rnacentral:tRNA from 1 species
GCCCGAUUGAUCGUCGUUGGUACGGCGUGCAGGCUUCAAGGAUGUAAGUAGGGUCUAUACGAGGGCACCUGUAGAUCGCGAAGGCGAUAGAGGUUCGAUUCCUCCUAGCGGGC